rnacentral:rRNA from 1 species
GACGAACGCUGGCGGCGUGCUUAACACAUGCAAGUCGAACGGAAAGGCCCUGCUUUUGUGGGGUGCUCGAGUGGCGAACGGGUGAGUAACACGUGAGUAACCUGCCCUUGACUUUGGGAUAACUUCAGGAAACUGGGGCUAAUACCGGAUAGGAGCUCCUGCUGCAUGGUGGGGGUUGGAAAGUUUCGGCGGUUGGGGAUGGACUCGCGGCUUAUCAGCUUGUUGGUGGGGUAGUGGCUUACCAAGGCUUUGACGGGUAGCCGGCCUGAGAGGGUUACCGGGCACAUUGGGACUGAGAUACGGCCCAGACGCCUACGGGAGGCAGCAGUGGGGAAUAUUGCACAAUGGGCGGAAGCCUGAUGCAGCAACGCCGCGUGCGGGAUGACGGCCUUCGGGUUGUAAACCGCUUUCGCCUGUGACGAAGCGUGAGUGACGGUAAUGGGUAAAGAAGCACCGGCUAACUACGUG